UCCUGUGUGGCUCAGUUGGUAGAGCAUGGUGUUUGCAAUGCCAGGGUUGUGGGUUCAAGUCCCACGUGGGAC
rnacentral:tRNA from 1 species